AUGGCCAGCUUAGCCUUUCCGGCGGCGUCCGCUCCCCCCACUAGAGCCCGGAGCAGCCGUGCUGGGGAAGACCCCACUCUGCUGGUCUAGACCAGAGGAUUUCUGGGGCAAC